UUUUUUUUUUAAAAAAAAAAAAAAAAUAAAAAAAAAAAAAAUCUGUUCUUAUCAGUUUAAUAUCUGAUACGUCCCCUACCCGGGGACCAUAUAUUAAAUUGAUUUUUGGAACAGGGAGAUGGAACAGGGGCUUGCUCCGUCCACUCCACGCAUCGACCUGGUAUUGCAGUACCUCCAGGAACGGUGCACUCCUC
ensembl:snRNA U2 U2 spliceosomal RNA